GAUGAAGAACGCAGCGAAAUGCGAUACGUAAUGUGAAUUGUAGAAUUCAGUGAAUCAUCGAAUCUUUGUACGCAUAUUGCGCUCUUUGGUAUUCCGAAGAGCAUGCUUGUUUGAGUAUCAGUAAACACCUCAACCUCUUCUUGAUUUUUCAAAAGGAGGGUGGACUUGAGCUAUCCCAACAACCUUUACCGGUCGGCGGGCGGCUUGAAAUGCAGGUGCAGCUGGACUUUUAUCUGAGCUAAAAGCAUAUCUAUUUAGUCCUCGUCAAACAGGAUUAUUACUUUUGCUGCAGCUAACAUAAAGGAUAAUUGUCCUCUUUGCUGACUGAUGCAGGAUUUUACGACACUUUAUGUGUUGUUCAACUCGAUCUCAAAUCAAGUAAGACUACCCGCUGAACUUAAGCAUAUCAAUAAGCGGAGGA
rnacentral:misc_RNA from 1 species